rnacentral:rRNA from 1 species
UACGUAGGGUGCAAGCGUUAAUCGGAAUUACUGGGCGUAAAGCGUGCGCAGGCGGUUAUGUAAGACAGAUGUGAAAUGCCCGGGCUUAACCUGGAAACUGCAUUUGUGACUGCAUGGCUAGAGUUUGGCAGAGGGGGGUAGAAUUCCACGUGUAGCAGUGAAAUGCGUAGAUAUGUGGAGGAACACCGAUGGCGAAGGCAGCCCCCUGGGUCAAGACUGACGCUCAUGCACGAAAGCGUGGGGAGCAAACAGG